CCCUUAGAUGUUCGGGGCCGCACGCGCGCUACACUGAAGGAAUCAGCGCGUCUUUCUCCUUGUCCGAAAGGACUGGGUAACCCGCUGAACCUCCUUCGUGCUAGGGAUUGGGGCUUGUAAUUCUUCCCCAUGAACGAGGAAUUCCCAGUAAGCGCGAGUCAUAAGCUCGCGUUGAUUACGUCCCUGCCCUUUGUACACACCGCCCGUCGCUCCUACCGAUUGGACGAUCCGGUGAAUUGCUUGGAACAGCCACGGAGUCAAUUUUGAAUCUGUGGAGGUGAAAAGUUGUAAACCUUAUCGUUUAGAGGAAGGAAAAGUCGUAACA
rnacentral:rRNA from 1 species